ACAGUACAAACUGAGCAGGCGAUGAACUUUUUUAUAAGUUCGUGGGGCCGGGCCUUAAUUGGCAGCAGGAUGAUAACACAUACCUGUGGGACAGU
rnacentral:ncRNA from 1 species